rnacentral:lncRNA from 1 species
GUCCAUUCAUUUAAUACAGUAACUCAGAGCACAUUCACCGGUCACACUUGAGGUGGUGGAGGCUCUGUAGGCAAAUUACAUUUGACUUCAAGGUCUCUUCCAGCACCAGAUUGUCCUCUUCAUCAUCACAGAGUGUAUGUCUCAAGAUUUUUCCCCUUCUGAUCAGCCAAAUCAGUGUUUCUGGAGUUAUGAAGCAGUUCACGUUGGGGAGAAAAAAAAAGCCACAAGAACAGAUGCUAAUUGAAAAAGUAUGAAUGAAUAAAUAUUGAGUUGGUG